AUUGACCGCUGGCGGCAGGCCUAACACAUGCAAGUCGAACGCGUGGCGGACGGGUGAGUAAUGUCUGGGAAACUGCCUGAUGGAGGGGGAUAACUACUGGAAACGGUAGCUAAUACCGCAUACCAUCGGAUGUGCCCAGAUGGGAUUAGCUAGUAGGUGGGGUAACUGCUCACCUAGGCGACGAUCCAUAGCUGGUCUGAGAGGAUGACCAGCCACACGGGAACGGAGACACGGGCCAGACGCCUACGGGAGGCAGCAGUGGGGAAUAUUUCACAAUGGGCGCAAGCCUGAUGCAGCCAUGCCGCGUGUAUGAAGAAGGCCUUCGGGUUGUAAAGUACUUUCAGCGGGGAGGCGUUACCCGCAGAAGAAGCACCGGCUAACUCCGUGCCAGCAGCCGCGGUAAUUC
rnacentral:rRNA from 1 species